AGAGUUUGAUCCUGGCUCAGAAUGAACGCUGGCGGCGUGCUUAACACAUGCAAGUCGGAUGUGCCGCAAGGUGCAUGGCAGACGGGUGAGUAACGCGUGGGGAACCUACCUCUUUGUGGGGAAUAACGCUCCGAAAGGAGUGGUAAUACCGCAUGUGAUCGCCGGUUGGAAUACGGGCGAUGAAAGCUGGGGCAACCUAGCGCAAGGAGAGGGUCCUGCGUCUGAUUAGCUAGUUGGUGGGGUAACGGCCUACCAAGGCGACGAUCAGUAGCCGACCUGAGAGGGUGAUCGGCCACAUUGGGACUGAGACACGGCCCAAACUCCUACGGGAGGCAGCAGUAGGGAAUCUUCCGCAAUGGACGAAGGUCUGACGGAGCAACGCCGCGUGAGUGAAGAAGGUUUUCGGAUCGUAAAACUCUGUUGUCAGAGAAGAACAAGUCGGAGAGUAACUGCUCCGGCCUUGACGGUAUCUGACCAGAAAGCCACGGCUAACUACGUGCCAGCAGCCGCGGUAAUACGUAGGUGGCAAGCGUUGUCCGGAUUUAUUGGGCGUAAAGCGAGCGCAGGCGGUUCCUUAAGUCUGAUGUGAAAGCCCACGGCUCAACCGUGGAAGGUCAUUGGAAACUGGGGAACUUGAGUGCAGAAGAGGAGAGUGGAAUUCCAUGUGUAGCGGUGAAAUGCGUAGAUAUAUGGAGGAACACCAGUGGCGAAGGCGACUCUCUGGUCUGUAACUGACGCUGAGGCUCGAAAGCGUGGGGAGCAAACAGGAUUAGAUACCCUGGUAGUCC
rnacentral:rRNA from 1 species